rnacentral:misc_RNA from 1 species
GAUGAAGAACGUAGCGAAAUGCGAUAAGUAAUGUGAAUUGCAGAAUUCAGUGAAUCAUCGAAUCUUUGAACGCACCUUGCGCUCCUUGGUAUUCCGAGGAGCAUGCCUGUUUGAGUGUCAUGAAAUUCUCAAACCCAUAAGUCUUUGCGGGCUUACGGGCUUUGGACUUGGAGGCUUGUCGGCGACCGUAAAGUCACAUCGACUCCUCUCAAAUGCAUUAGCUUGAUUCCUUGCGGAUCGGCUCUCGGUGUGAUAAUUGUCUACGCCGUGACCGUGAAGCGUUUUGGCAAGCUUCUAACCGUCUCUAACGAGACAGCUUACUUUGACCUCUGACCUCAAAUCAGGUAGGACUACCCGCUGAGCUUAAGCAUAUCAAUAAGCGGAGGA